rnacentral:rRNA from 1 species
UACGAACCGAGCGAGCGUUAUUCGGAAUCACUGGGCGUAAAGCGCGCGUAGGCGGCCCGGUAAGUCCGCUGUGAAAGUCCAGGGCUCAACCCUGGAAAGCCGGUGGAUACUGUCGGGCUAGAGUCCGGAAGAGGAGAAUGGAAUUCCUGGUGUAGCGGUGAAAUGCGCAGAUAUCAGGAAGAACACCCGUGGCUAAGGCGGUUCUCUAGUACGGUACUGACGCUGAGACGCGAAAGCGUGGGGAGCGAACAGG